CCCAGACUCCUACGGGAGGCAGCAGUGGGGGAUAUUGCACAAUGGGGGGAACCCUGAUGCAGCGACGCCGCGUGGGUGAAGGAGCGUUUCGGCGCGUAAAGCCCUAUCGGCAGGGAAGAAGGAGGACGGUACCUGACUAAGAAGCCCCGGCUAACUACGUGCCAGCAGCCGCGGUAAUACGUAGGGGGCAAGCGUUAUCCGGAUUUACUGGGUGUAAAGGGGGCGCAGACGGCAGCGCAAGCCAGGAGUGAAAGCCCGGGGCCCAACCCCGGGACUGCUCUUGGAACUGCGCGGCUGGAGUGCAGGAGGGGCAGGCGGAAUUCCUGGUGUAGCGGUGAAAUGCGUAGAUAUCAGGAGGAACACCGGUGGCGAAGGCGGCCUGCUGGACUGCAACUGACGUUGAGGCCCGAAAGCGUGGGGAGCAAACAGGAUUAGAUACCCUGGUAA
rnacentral:rRNA from 1 species